ensembl:lncRNA
UUGGUUUGACAAGAACUAUUUUCAUAAACUCAUGUUGAUUGACAUUUAAUAUAUUAUGCUCUUUUGGAAGUUGCAGUAUCCCAAUUGAUAACAUUUCAUGAGGAAUUAUUCCAUCAAGUGCUGAAAGACUGUAUUCUGCCCCUCUGGAAAUUCUGCAGGUCAUUUCGUAUUAAGUGGAUUCUAACUUAUAUUAAACCCAUCUCUGACUUUUGUCAUAUAAUAUAACACAGCCAUCACUGCAAAGAGGCUGCCUUAUACAAGUGAAAUGGCUGGGGUAAGAGUGUAAACACUUCACUACAAAUUAAACUAAGCAAGUAGUCAUAUUUAAGCCUUAGGCUUCCAGAAAAUCAAUCUUCCCAUGUGAGAAAAACUCACUGAUCUAUAGCCUACACGAGUGUGUUUAUUUAAGAAAUACAUUAAAUUUAUUAUGAUAACAUAGGUCAGUAUAUAAAAGGAUGUGUCAAAUCCAAACCACUUAGAUUUCUCCAAAGCCCAUGUACCAGUGGUAAUGCCACACUAGAAGACAAAGAAAAUUCCCAUUAUUUGUUAUAAGGCAGCUUACCCUCAUAAAGGCAGCAGAAAUAAUAAACAGUAUUCCAGAAGUGAAGUGCAAUGGACAGAAGUGUAAUAAAAUGAAAUGUAAUCAAAAUGCCCAAAGUUCUUAUAGAAUAGGUCUGGAAAUCAGAGUGGGCUCUAAGGUGGUAAGCCAACUCACUCUGUUAUGGCUGUGAUGAGCAAGCCACUCCAGUUGUCAUAAAAAGACGCCUUGCACAUGUACGUCCAGUGACUGUAGAGUGAAGCUAAAUGAAUCACUCGGCUUAGACACCUCAUUUUUUAUGGCUAGAAGAAGGUAAAAUUUAGCCUGCUCUUGCAAUCAUAGAGAUACACAAACUUCAGGUUUGAGAGACAGAUUGUGAAGGAAUUGUGUUAAUUUGUGCAUCAGAGUACCUCAGGCACCCAAUCCCAUUUAAUAGUCCUUCUGGUUAUGAUCCAGUGCUUUACAGUUGGAUUAAAGAAACUUACUUCUUUUUGCUUUUUUCUUCUGCAGAAAUUCAAAAUCAUCCCUUUGGAAAGCACUUUGUAAGUCCAGCACUAUAUAUAAAAUUUAGUUCCUCCUUUCUGUAUCACAUGACUCCCCUGUCCUUUUCCCAAACUGCACCAGCAUAAUCUGAAAAAAAAAAAAAAAGAAAGAAAAAACAUUCUUUUCAGAGUUUAACUGUACUGACAGGUUGUGUUCCACUGUGCCUGACCCAAUGUACUUUACUAAGCUCCAGUUCAGAUCUCAACACCGUUGACCCCAAACUGACAUGAAGGCAAAAGAUAAGGUCCAAGACUACUUGGCCAGAAGCAAUCAAAAUGUCUUUGUAUUAAAGAUAACAACUCAUUAAC